ACAUAGAGAGCUAGAGACGCUCUAAACCUCUCCUUAGCUUUCUAUGAUCACGCAAGAGCGGUCCUGAGCCACCCAUAAAGAGGCAGGAGGGCGCUCUAGGCUUCUCGGCGGUUUUCUAUGGAGGCUGGAAUGUCUUCAUGUUGGGAGAUCUAAAACGCGGGAAAAUUCAAAAAAGUAGCCUAGAGGGCGGGUGUGGGCAAGUCCUCCCAGGCCACUCCACCCAGACCCGGACACACCUUGGCUGGACUGGUCCGCGUCACGCAAGUCUCCACGCAGACGACCACGCUGCCCCAGUCUACCCAGACAACAAGUCUGGAGGAUCUUAUGGCCAGGAUUGAAAUCUUGGACGGCAAAAAUACCGCCCUAGGUCAGCAGUUUGAGGAGCACAAAAAGUCCACGCAGGACACCAUCAGAAAGAUGGAGACUUUGUGGAUUCUGCACCACAGACUGCAGGCCGUGGAGGCCGGACAACAUGCUUCCGCCCAGUUCCCCCGGCAGGCUUCAGAAUAGCAAUAGCGUGUCAUUUGUAACCCAUUCUGUCUAUCCCAGUUUGGCACCCCUUCCACCGUCCCCCUCUGCUGUGAUACUGGUUUUGUGUUCUUUGUUUGUUAACAGUUAAAAAAAGGUUAUAAACCCUUGCUCAGUUCCCAUGUCAUGUAUUCAGAGUUGCCUUAUUGAUCGGAAAGACAUGCACACAGCGUAAGACCCCUCCUACAGUCCCCAUUGCAUAUUCUAAAGGCUGUCCAGUUGCUGAGGAACAUUUCGCCCAAAAUUGGGACCCCUUGCACAGUCCCCAAUUCAUCUUUAAACUGUUGUCUUGUUGAUUGUGAACACCUAUCAACAGUCUAGGACCCCUCCCACAGUACCCAUUGAUUUUUCUGGAGGCUGUCUGGUUGCUGCAGAACAUUUCCCAAAACGUUGGGACCCCUUCUACAGUUGCAACUUGUGCGCUGUUGUGGGUACACGGUAUAACCUUCCCCACGCAUCUCGCUGUGUGUAUGCCAGGUAA